rnacentral:rRNA from 1 species
UACGAGGGGGGCGAGCGUUGUUCGGAAUUAUUGGGCGUAAAGGGUGCGUAGGCGGUUUGGUAAGUCUCUUGUGAAAUCUAUGGGCUCAACUCAUAGUCUGCAAGGGAAACUGCCGGGCUUGAGUGUGGGAGAGGUGAGUGGAAUUUCCGGUGUAGCGGUGAAAUGCGUAGAUAUCGGGAGGAACACCUGUGGUGUAGACGGCUAUCUGGACGGCGACUGACGCUGAGACACGAAAGCGUGGGUAGCAAACAGG